AUUUACCCAAAGAGGGUGCUAGGCCCGUAUAACAUUAAUGAUUGUUAGUGAACAUUUCCAAAGAGUCGUGUUGCUUGAUAGUGCAGCACUAAGUGGGUGGUAAACUCCAUCUAAAACUAAAUAUAACCAUGAGACCGAUAGUAAACAAGUACCGUGAGGGAAAGUUGAAAAGAACUCUGAAUAGAGAGUUAAAUAGUACGUGAAACUGCUUAGAGGUUAAGCCCGAUGAACCUGAAUAUCCAUUAUAGAAAAUUCAUCAUUAUGAUUAUUAUAUAUAUAUUAUCUUUAUGAUGUUUAUAUAUUAUAAUAAUGAUGUGCAUUUUUUCUAUAUAAGGACAUUGUAAUCUAUUAAUGACAAUUAUAAAAUUUUAUUAUAAGAUUAAUGGCGAUAAAGAUUAAAUUAUAAAUUUUUUUGUCUCGUGCAAAAUUAUUUUUAUUUAAAUGCCGUUAAUUUAAUAAAUUGUUAAUAGUUUUAUAUAAUAUAUAAGUGCUAAAAUUAAUUAUAUUUUUUAUAGUGUCAUUUUUAUAUUAUUAUAAUUAUGAUCAUUAUACGCACUUUAUAUGAUUUACAAUGCGAAAGAUUCAGGAUACCUUCGGGACCCGUCUUGAAACACGGACCAAGGAGUCUAACAUAUUUGCAAGUUAUUGGUAUUAUUGGUAUAUUAUAUAUAUAACUAAUAACGUAAUUAACAUAACACAWWAWUWWWWUAUGGGAUUAAUUUUUAGUAUWMUAUUCUAUUGAAAUAUAUAGGCUAUUAAUUCAAUCCCGGGGCGUUCUAUACAAGUUAUGUAUUUAUAAUAUUUAUAUUAUUUUUACCUCUAACUUAGAACGUACCUUGAGCAUAUAUGCUGUGACCCGAAAGAUGGUGAACUAUACUUGAUCAGGUUGAAGUCAGGGGAAACCCUGAUGGAAGACCGAAACAGUUCUGACGUGCAAAUCGAUUGUCAGAAUUGAGUAUAGGGGCGAAAGACUAAUCGAACCAUCUAGUAGCUGGUUCCUUCCGAAGUUUCCCGCAGGAUAGCUGGUGCAUUUUAAAAUUGUAAAAAAUAAUCUUAUCUGGUAAAGCGAAUGAUUAGAGGCCUUAGGGUCGAAACGAUUUUAACCUAUUCUCAAACUUUAAAUGGGUAAGAACCUCACCUUUCUUGAUAAUGAAGGUUGUGGUUAUGAUAUAAUGUGCCCAGUGGGCCACUUUUGGUAAGCAGAACUGGCGCUGUGGGAUGAACCAAACGUAAUGUUACGGUGCCCAAAUUAAUAACUCAUACAGAUACCAUGAAAGGCGUUGGUUGCUUAAAACAGCAGGACGGUGGACAUGGAAGUCGUAAUCCGCUAAGGAGUGUGUAACAACUCACCUGCCGAAGCAACUAGCCCUUAAAAUGGAUGGCGCUUAAGUUAUAUACCUAUACAUUACCGCUAAAGUAAAUGGUUUAUAUUACAGGACUAUAUUAUAUAUUUAUAUAUAUAUAGUAUAUGUAUAAACUUUGAAACUUUAUAGCCUGCAUGGAGCCGCCAUUGGGUACAGAAUCUUGGUGGUAGUAGCAAAUAAUCGAAUGAGACCUUGGAGGACUGAAGUGGAGAAGGGUUUCGUGUGAACAGUGGUUGAUCACGAGUUAGUCGGUCCUAAGUUCAAAGCGAAAGCUGAAAAUUUUCAAGUUACAAAUUGUAUAAUUUACAUAUUAAAUAUUAUUAUAUAUAUAUAAAAUAUAAAUAUACAUAAUAUAAAAAUGUAUAUGUAUGAAACACUUGAAAAUUAAUUGAACGAAAGGGAAUACGGUUCCAAUUCCGUAACCUGUUGAGUAUCCGUUUGUUUAUUAAAUGUGGGCCUUGUGCUCAUCCUGGUAACAGGAACGACCAUAAAGAAGCCGUCGAGAGAUAUCGGAAGAGUUUUCUUUUCUGUUUUAUAGUCGUACUACCAUGGAAGUCUUUCGAAGAGAGAUAUGGUAGAUGGGCUAGAAGAGCAUGACAUUUACUGUUGUGUCGAUAUUUUCUCCUCGGACCUUGAAAAUUUAUGGUGGGGUCACGCAAACUUCUCAACAGGCCGUACCAAUAUCCGCAGCUGGUCUCCAAGGUGAAGAGUCUCUAGUC
rnacentral:rRNA from 1 species